rnacentral:rRNA from 1 species
UACGUAGGUGGCAAGCGUUGUCCGGAUUUACUGGGCGUAAAGGGCGUGCAGGCGGUCUGUUAAGUCUAGGGUGAAAGCUCCCGGCUCAACUGGGAGAGGUCCUUGGAUACUGGCGGACUUGAGGGAGGUAGAGGAAAGUGGAAUUCCCGGUGUAGUGGUGAUAUGCGUAGAUAUCUGGAGGAACACCGGUGGCGAAGGCGGCAUCCUGGACCGGUAUUGACGCUGAUGCGCGAAAGCCAGGGGAGCAAACGGG